AUGAAUUCAGAUUUUUAUGUGAAAUAUCAGGGUCAGAGUCAGUAACUGCUGAUUUUAGCUGUAAUCUCUACACUGGAGAAAAUCCUCAGCUUUUCCUAAACCAAAGAUCUCAAAAGGGAAACUCUGUGAAGGUUUGUAGUUUUACAGCACAGAGAGACGCUGUGUUUAAUCGUCUGCAGUCAGUAAAGAGUCGUGAAGUGAGCUGUGAUUAUUCACUGAUCUCUGACCCGACUGCUCGCUCUCUAAUGAGUGAUAAAUACAACAUGACGCGUAAGUUAUAAUAAACAAAUUAUGUAUUCCAUUACUUUAUACCUUUGAAUAAUUUUAACUUAUUUUCAUUUCAUCUUUUGUCAGAUUUCUUUACAACAACAACAACAACAACAACAACAACGACGAGUGAUAAAUACAACAUGACACGUUUCUUUCCUACACCAACACAGCCGUCCAUCACUGCUGAGAAAUCCACUGCAUAUUCCUCUUCUGAAUCAACACCGCAGUCCAUCACUACACAGAAAUCCACUGCAGGUCAGUCAUUCAAGUUUAAUGUGCAUUAUGUUAGAACUGUGUGAUGUUCAUUUUACUUUGGUCAUUUGAUUUGUGUAAGUAAUGCAAUAACAUUUGAGGUGUCUUUUUAUUGUUAACCAACCAGCAGGAUCGUCCUAAAGGUACAUCAUUCUGAUGUAUCAUUAAUAUCAAUAUCACCUGCAUUGUAUUUAUUCUCAUAUCAUUUGUAAACAUA